rnacentral:rRNA from 1 species
GGCUUGUUGAAUAGGAUUUCAAGUCUGGCCUGCCCACUGAUUGUUUUUAAAUGGCCGCAGUAUAUUGACUGUGCGAAGGUAGCAUAAUCAUUAGUUUUUUAAUUGAAAGCUGGAAUGAAAGGUUUGAUGAGAAAGUUACUGUCUCUGUAAGAGUAAUUUAGAAUUUUAUAUUUAAGUUAAAAAGCUUAAAUUUGUGUGGAAGACGAGAAGACCCUAUAGAGUUUGAUAUUGAUGAGAGUGGUAGAUGAUAGGUUAAAUUUAAGUUUAUUUAUUUUAUAAGUAUUUUAUUGGGGUGAUAGAAAAAUUGAAUUAACUUUUUUUUACAUAGGACACUGAUUUGUGACUUGUUGAUCCUUGUUUAAGAUUAUAAGAUUAAACUACCUUAGGGAUAACAGCGUAAUUUUUUUUUAGAGUUCUUAUCGAAAAAAAAGAUUGCGACCUCGAUGUUGGAUUAAAAUUAAUUGCUGGUGUAGGUGCUAGUAUAUUAGGUCUGUUCGACCUUUAAAAUUUUACAUGAUCUGAGUUUAAACCGGUGUGAA